rnacentral:pre_miRNA from 1 species
CUACGGAGCCGGCCCAAGCGCAUGGGAGGCUUGGGUCGCUGGGGGCGACCCAAGCUUCCCACCCGCCCUGGCCGGCCGCUGAA